rfam:Salmo salar isolate Sally breed double haploid chromosome ssa01, whole genome shotgun sequence.
CUCAUACACUACUGUAAAUCGCUCUGGAUAAGAGUGUCUGCUAAAUGACUAAAA